rnacentral:rRNA from 1 species
AUUGAACGCUGGCGGCAGGCUUAACACAUGCAAGUCGAGCGGGGGAAGGUAGCUUGCUACCGGACCUAGCGGCGGACGGGUGAGUAAUGCUUAGGAAUCUGCCUAUUAGUGGGGGACAACAUCUCGAAAGGGAUGCUAAUACCGCAUACGUCCUACGAGAGAAAGCAGGGGAUCUUCGGACCUUGCGCUAAUAGAUGAGCCUAAGUCGGAUUAGCUAGUUGGUGGGGUAAAGGCCUACCAAGGCGACGAUCUGUAGCGGGUCUGAGAGGAUGAUCCGCCACACUGGGGCUGAGACACGGCCCAGACUCCUACGGGAGGCAGCAGUGGGGAAUAUUGGACAAUGGGGGGAACCCUGAUCCAGCCAUGCCGCGUGUGUGAAGAAGGCCUUAUGGUUGUAAAGCACUUUAAGCGAGGAGGAGGCUACUCUAGUUAAUACCUAGGGAUAGUGGACGUUACUCGCAGAAUAAGCACCGGCUAACUCUGUGCCAGCCGCCGCCGUAA